GUGGGGAAUAUUGGACAAUGGGCGAAAGCCUGAUCCAGCCAUGCCGCGUGUGUGAAGAAGGUCUUCGGAUUGUAAAGCACUUUAAGUUGGGAGGAAGAGUAGUAACCUAAUACGUUGCUACUUUGACGUUACCGACAGAAUAAGCACCGGCUAACUUCGUGCCAGCAGCCGCGGUAAUACGAAGGGUGCAAGCGUUAAUCGGAAUUACUGGGCGUAAAGCGCGCGUAGGUGGUUUUGUAAGUUGGGGGUGAAAUCCCCGGGCUCAACCUGGGAACUGCCUCCAAAACUGCAUGACUAGAGUACGGUAGAGGGUAGUGGAAUUUCCUGUGUAGCGGUGAAAUGCGUAGAUAUAGGAAGGAACACCAGUGGCGAAGGCGACUACCUGGACUGAUACUGACACUGAGGUGCGAAAGCGUGGGGAGCAAACAGGAUUAGAAACCCGGGUAGUCC
rnacentral:rRNA from 1 species